ACCAAAGAACCUUGAAAAUAAAUUUGAAACAAAUCAAUCCAGAAAAAUACAAUUUUGUGACCUGUGUUCUUUACCUCCUUGGUACAGCAUUAUGCCACAACCAUUGUGUAAAAUAUAAAAAUACAGUAUUAAUUUUCGAAUCAGAAACCAAUGUAAUUGAUGAAUUGUAUCACAAAACACCAAAUAAACAUGCAAAAAUAAAAUGUUUGUACUAAUUGCUAUUUUAUUAUUUAAAUUAUUUAGCUUGUUGCUACAGCUUCUAUAAUUUUUAGGUAGGCAAUGGCUACUGUAUUGUUGAUACUUCGUUCACAUUAGGAUCUUAACCCAGUCUUUCCAUAGUUAUUAUUUAUCGAAAUGAUAUUGUUGGUUGAAUAAAAGUGAAUUAAAAAACCCUUUUGAACUAGUGGCAUCUUUGGUUUAUAUUUAUUCACAUUUAUCUGAGUUCUAAUGGGUUUUUUAAAAAAAGGUAAUUUUAAUUUUUAUAUUCCCUGAUGGUAGUGACGCACCCAUGGGAUAUGCACCCUAAUAAGCAGUGUGAGAAUAUUCUGCCUGUAGACUAAAUACAUGCACUUGCACAUGCGUGUGCACACACACAUAUAUAUAUAUAUAUUUUUGUGCUAAAAUAAUUUGAAGAUUUAUAUACGACUUUUUGUAAAUGUGUUCCUGCAUUUAUCAUCGGAGCUAUGAAGUUUUGGAGUGCAUAGAGGACAGUGCUUGUAUAUGAUCUCUGGUCAGAGGAAACAGUUUGUUUUACAGUUGAUUGAAAUGGUUGUCUGUCAACAGCACAGUUAUAAUACUGUACACAUAUUUACAGUUGGCACACAACGUAAGGGCCAUAACAAAAUGUUGUUGCAGUUGUCGCACAACUUGAUGAACCCAACAAGGUUAUAUAUCACAUAUUUUAAACAUACAUUCAUACGCACCUUACAGUCAUCUCAAAUACUUACCUUUCAACCUUUUGAAAACCACAAAAUGUGUGCCCUUCUAUGUUAUAUCUGAAAAAUGUAGUCAGGUUUUAAAAAGUGUAUCUUAAUGAACUGAUUUAAGUAAAUGGAUAAACAUUUGAAAAUUCUUCUACAUGCUUCUACGCCAGUCACUAUUCCAGAUAUUCAAGAACUAAAUUGUUUUCAUGAAUUUUGUGUAGGUGGAAUGGAGGCAGAGACAUACCGGAAUAGGAAAGUAUAUUUGUCCUUGAAUGUGCAAGCUAUUUGCAAUGCUGACCUUGAGUUCACGGAUAUUGUGGCAAGAUGGCCAGGAAGUACACAUGAUAGUACUAUCUUCAAUAACUGCUAUCGCCAUGCACUAUUUGAAGACAGACGGUAUGGAGAUGCUGUGCUGUUGGUUGAUGGUGGCUAUCCCAGCAAACCAUAUCUGUUGUCACCACUGGAAAAUCCAAUAACUGAAGAGGAGCGGCUGUACAACGAAUCACAGAUACGGUCCAGAAAUACUGUGGAACGUUUAUUUGGUUGCUGGAAGCGCCGGUUUCCUGUGCUGUCUUUAGGCAUCAACGUAAAGCUCAACAAUACCAUGGCUAUUAUAAUAGCAACUGUGGUGUUGCACAAUAUUUUGAGAAAAGCUGGUGAAGACUUGCCACCAGAUGACCCAGACUUAAUGCUUCCUGCACCCUGGGCAGCACUUCUGGGAGAAGGAGACAUCACUCGGGGCAGACUGCAGGAUGGGCAGCGGAAAGAUGCUGUUCGUCGUGCCUUGAUUUCAAAUUACUUUAGAAGCUUGGUGUGAGCAAGACUGCCAGAAUAGAAGAUGCCACAGCAAACAGAAAAGGAUUUUUUUUUAAAUGGACUUGACCACAUUUAAUCUGAUGUGACGUAAAAUAGGAGUUGACAUUUUAAUCAAUUAGGAGUAAAUACAUCAACAUAUUUUAUUUACAGUACAUUAAGUUAAAAUUUAAGGAAUACAUUUACACUAUGUCUCAAUGAUUGUUCUUUUUUCUCUGCCUCAACUCAAACAUUAGUAUUUUGGUAUGCAACUUUUCUUGUAUUAAUCUUUCAGCAUACAAUUUGGACCUCAUUUCUGCUUCUUCAAUUGCAUGUUUUUUUGCUAAAUGGGCUAGUUCCAAUUUAGCCUCAUCUAGAAUUGCCUGAGAUGACUUCGGUCUUAUCCCUCUAUUUUUCGGGCGAGACAAUGGGCGAUGCGGAGUAGACACCACUUUUCUUUGAGAAGGCAAUUCUUCAGACGGAAUUGUCUGCGAAUGCAUCAAUGAAACAGAAGGUGCUGAAGAUGCAGGCUUCCCUGCAAGUGCAGGUGACACCGGUUUCCGCAGAUUGUCUGGGGUCCACUGUGACCAGUCUUCUAUUUCUUUUGGUGAAAUCACCUCCACGAUUGCCUGAAAAUAAAUCAAAAUCACUGUGAAAACAUUCUAGAAAAAAUAAUUGCUUCUGUUACACGUUAGCUUAGAGAUGUAACAAACUACGCUAGUUUACAAUAAAGUUACACUUUUUUGAAGUUCUUUAGAAUUGAUAGGCCUGUGCAAAUAUUCAAAUUUUCGAAAGCGAAUGCUUUAUAAUUCACAUUGAAUUUGAUCUUGAAUACUUAACACUUCAAUAUAACAAAUAUUUGUUUGCUUCCAGAUAUUUGAUAUCACAUACCUCAUGAGUUUGUCGUAUACUAGCGUUUACUAUUGAGAUUAAGUCAAUUUUGCAAUAUAAAUAUCAUGUUUUUAGGUAUUUUAAUGAGACUUCAUUAUCAAAAACAUACAAUAAGCAACAUUUUGAACAUGCAACAAGUAAUCAACAACGAUUUUCCGCUACUGUCUCGCUAAACAGUAACUGAAAAUAGGUGUUAAUUAUUCAAAACACAGAAUAUUAUUGUGACAUUUCAAAGUUGAAAACAAAAGAUUAUUUGUAUUAUUGUUGUCACAUGGACAAUUAACAAAAAAUUCAAAUAUCAACAACCUUGGACUACAACACCUCCAAAUAGAUACACCAUUGUGAUGGCUAUUAAGAGAAGAGAAUGCCAUAGUUUCAACGGCGUAUAAAUAGAUGAUUACAAUCAAUAUAACACAGUGUGCCACAGUAGCAGUGUACUUAGGUACUGUAUAUAUCCUAAAUGAAACAGAUGUUGGUACUCCAAAGAAAAGUUUUGGAUAUCUGAUGAAAUUAGCAGAAUUUAUUGUGUUCAUAAUACUGCUGAACUAAAAUACAGUGUACCAGAAUAUAAUUUACGUGUGAUUAAUUAGGGGUUAAAUAUGUAAAUAUGAAGUCAUACAAUCACUUAUUUGUUAACAAAUAAUUUUAACAAAUCUACAUUUUUUUGUGAAAUGUAUCAGUUUUCACAGUAUUUUGCAGUACACAAAAAAUAUAUAGAUCAAUAUAUAGAGUAGCAAGUUCUGUAAAACAAGGCGAACAGGAAAUUAUAAUGUUUUAUAAUUGCUUUACAAGAAUGUCUUUAUAUGACUACAGUAUAUUUCAUGAUCGUGAAUUAUGCUUUUUCAUGCAUUGUAGAUAUUUGUAAUUGUUUGCUUGAUGGCGAAUAAUUAGCUUAAAGUGGUUCUUACUUUCUACUAUUUAUGCAGUUAUUUUUAAUGGGUUUUCUAGAAUUGUUUAAGGCCUUGCUUAUAAGUUAUUUAUUCAUAAAAUGCGUGGUUAGGUUCUUCCAUUGUACAUUGUUUUCUUGGAUGAUUUCUUUAUUAGGAAAAGCACUGGUGUUAUGGGGUGAAACAAUAUACUGGUUAUCUGAACUAGCUUAUCGUUUCCUGUGUAAGAGAGGUAGGGAGCUUGGAAACCAUGGGAUAGAAACUUUAAGAUUGUCCGAAACUUGUUGCCAGGCACCACAGAUGGCUAGUAAUUUUCUAGGGUAUUUUUGUGAUUCGUCAAAAAUAUAGUCAUCUCAAUAGCUUUGUCCAGGAAGAACAGUGGUGACGAGAUGGUGUGUGCAAAAUGUUCAUUUGUAGUUUGAGAUUCAGGACCUUUAGUUUGUGUUUUGAGCAGCACCUAAAAAAUACUAUCACAUAAAUAUAGGGGGAGAAAAUAUAGUGGCUAUGGUCUGGGCGGCACCGAACUUUAAUUUUUUUUUUACAUUAACAUUACAAUUUUGUAGACUAGUCUGUGAUUGCCCAAAAAAGAUACAUACAUGUGUUUUUCAUUCAUUCUGAGACUUCGGUUAUUGGCAAGUAGCGGGAGUUUCUAGUAACCCUGGGAUGUAAUAAACAGGUUUUUUUUUCUCAAGUACUCACUCUCUUUGAACAGGAACAUGGUGUUUAUCUAAAAGCUGCAAGUUGUUUUGGUGGUACAAUCUGGUUUUAGGGGACAGCAUGCAUUUUUUGUUUGUCGUGGUCGCAAGAUGGCGAACCCAGUGACUUGUAAAAAGGAAAUUUAAAAAAAAAAAAAAACAAGUUUUAAAUCAGUUUGUUUCUGAAAGACAUUCUUUAAACAACUUUGCAUCAUCAGAAAACUUCGUUAUUUGUGGAUUAUUUAUUUUUACGGAAUGAUUAAAGCCUUUUAUUCCUUUUAAUAACGUUUUGUACAUUUGCCACAUGUUUUAGAAACAUGUUUUAUAUUUAAUUAAUGUUUUUAUGCCUUUUUUAAUGAGUGUUUUGCUUUGUUAAUGAAAAGUCGUUCAAAGGUACGUUUACUUAACUAGGCCUAGGUAUUUGCUUUUUCAGGGAUAAAUUUAAAUAUUCUAGAUGGGUUUUUAUGCAUGGAUUGCGCUUUCAAGUAUUUUUCCUUUGUAUUUUGAAUUUUUAUUUCGGACAUUUUAAAUUAGAAACUUGGAGCCACAGUCGUAGGUGAAGCCCUCAACGAUGUGCUAGUAAUUCGGCCAUCGUUCCGGCGAUAAGUAUCCGUCGGCAACGUACCAGGGGUGAGAGUUUCACCCUGGGAUGUUAUAAAUAGUAAAUCAGUGUUUAUUUCAAAGUACCUCUGAACUGUAAAAUAAGUUGUUUUUGUUUUGUAUUCGUCAAGUAAGGACUAUAACCUUAAAGUGUACUUAUUGCUUCAUUGUCGCAAGAUGGCGGGCGGAGAUGUGUGUGUGUUUCUCUCGUGGAUUUGAAGAAUUUAAAUAAAUAAAAACAAUUUAGAAAGCA